CAUACAUUAUAUAAUCCUAAGCCCCAAUUUCACCAAAGACUGUUAAAGUUAAAGCUCGAAAAAGUAUCACGUUCCCUCAUUCGUUUUUCUUAUAAAUGAAAGAGAAGACAUGACAUUUUAACAAGUUGUUAA